rnacentral:rRNA from 1 species
AGUUUGAUCAUGGCUCAGGAUGAACGCUGGCGGCGUGCCUAACACAUGCAAGUCGAGCGAUUCUCUUCGGAGAAGAGCGGCGGACGGGUGAGUAACGCGUGGGUAACAUGCCCUGUACACACGGAUAACAUACCGAAAGGUAUGCUAAUACGGGAUAAUGUACUUUUGUCGCAUGGCAAAAGUAUCAAAGCUCCGGCGGUACAGGAUGGACCCGCGUCUGAUUAGCUAGUUGGUGAGGUAAUGGCUCACCAAGGCGACGAUCAGUAGCCGACCUGAGAGGGUGAUCGGCCACAUUGGAACUGAGACACGGUCCAAACUCCUACGGGAGGCAGCAGUGGGGAAUAUUGCACAAUGGGCGAAAGCCUGAUGCAGCAACGCCGCGUGAGCGAUGAAGGCCUUCGGGUCGUAAAGCUCUGUCCUCAAGGAAGAUAAUGACGGUACUUGAGGAGGAAGCCCCGGCUAACUACGUGCCAGCAGCCGCGGUAAUACGUAGGGGGCUAGCGUUAUCCGGAAUUACUGGGCGUAAAGGGUGCGUAGGUGGUUUUUUAAGUCAGAAGUGAAAGGCUACGGCUCAACCGUGGUAAGCUUUUGAAACUGAGAAACUUGAGUGCAGGAGAGGAGAGUAGAAUUCCUAGUGUAGCGGUGAAAUGCGUAGAUAUUAGGAGGAAUACCAGUUGCGAAGGCGGCUCUCUGGACUGUAACUGACACUGAGGCACGAAAGCGUGGGGAGCAAACAGGAUUAGAUACCCUGGUAGUCCACGCCGUAAACGAUGAGUACUAGGUGUCGGGGGUUACCCCCCUCGGUGCCGCAGCUAACGCAUUAAGUACUCCGCCUGGGAAGUACGCUCGCAAGAGUGAAACUCAAAUGAAUUGACGG